GACGAAGGGGGUUAGCGUUGUUCGGAAUUACUGGGCGUAAAGCGAGUGUAGGUGGUUGUCCAAGUUGGAUGUGAAAGCCUUGAGCUCAACUCAAGAAAUGCAUUCAGGACUGGAUGACUAGAGGACCGGAGAGGAUAGUGGAAUUCCCAGUGUAGUGGUGAAAUACGUAGAGAUUGGGAAGAACACCAGUGGCGAAGGCGGCUAUCUGGACGGUUUCUGACACUAAGACUCGAAAGCGUGGGGAGCAAACAGG
rnacentral:rRNA from 1 species